rnacentral:rRNA from 1 species
UACGAAGGGGGCUAGCGUUGUUCGGAAUCACUGGGCGUAAAGCGCACGUAGGCGGAUCCUUAAGUCAGGGGUGAAAUGCCGAGGCUCAACCUCGGAACUGCCUUUGAUACUGGGGAUCUCGAGUCCGGGAGAGGUGAGUGGAAUUGCGAGUGUAGAGGUGAAAUUCGUAGAUAUUCGCAAGAACACCAGAGGCGAAGGCGGCUCACUGGCCCGGUACUGACGCUGAGGUGCGAAAGCGUGGGGAGCAAACAGG